GGUUAAGCGACUAAGCGUACACGGUGGAUGCCCUGGCAGUCAGAGGCGAUGAAGGACGUGCUAAUCUGCGAUAAGCGUCGGUAAGGUGAUAUGAACCGUUAUAACCGGCGAUUUCCGAAUGGGGAAACCCAGUGUGUUUCGACACACUAUCAUUAACUGAAUCCAUAGGUUAAUGAGGCGAACCGGGGGAACUGAAACAUCUAAGUACCCCGAGGAAAAGAAAUCAACCGAGAUUCCCCCAGUAGCGGCGAGCGAACGGGGAGCAGCCCAGAGCCUGAAUCAGUAUGUGUGUUAGUGGAAGCGUCUGGAAAGGCGCGCGAUACAGGGUGACAGCCCCGUACACAAAAAUGCACAUGCUGUGAGCUCGAUGAGUAGGGCGGGACACGUGGUAUCCUGUCUGAAUAUGGGGGGACCAUCCUCCAAGGCUAAAUACUCCUGACUGACCGAUAGUGAACCAGUACCGUGAGGGAAAGGCGAAAAGAACCCCGGCGAGGGGAGUGAAAAAGAACCUGAAACCGUGUACGUACAAGCAGUGGGAGCACGCUUAGGCGUGUGACUGCGUACCUUUUGUAUAAUGGGUCAGCGACUUAUAUUCUGUAGCAAGGUUAACCGAAUAGGGGAGCCGAAGGGAAACCGAGUCUUAACUGGGCGUUAAGUUGCAGGGUAUAGACCCGAAACCCGGUGAUCUAGCCAUGGGCAGGUUGAAGGUUGGGUAACACUAACUGGAGGACCGAACCGACUAAUGUUGAAAAAUUAGCGGAUGACUUGUGGCUGGGGGUGAAAGGCCAAUCAAACCGGGAGAUAGCUGGUUCUCCCCGAAAGCUAUUUAGGUAGCGCCUCGUGAAUUCAUCUCCGGGGGUAGAGCACUGUUUCGGCAAGGGGGUCAUCCCGACUUACCAACCCGAUGCAAACUGCGAAUACCGGAGAAUGUUAUCACGGGAGACACACGGCGGGUGCUAACGUCCGUCGUGAAGAGGGAAACAACCCAGACCGCCAGCUAAGGUCCCAAAGUCAUGGUUAAGUGGGAAACGAUGUGGGAAGGCCCAGACAGCCAGGAUGUUGGCUUAGAAGCAGCCAUCAUUUAAAGAAAGCGUAAUAGCUCACUGGUCGAGUCGGCCUGCGCGGAAGAUGUAACGGGGCUAAACCAU
rnacentral:rRNA from 1 species